AUUUAUAUAGUUUAAAAAAAAACAUUAUAUUUUCAAUAUAAAAUUAAUUAAUAUAAUUUAU
rnacentral:tRNA from 1 species